AUUUAUAUAGUUUAAAAAUUAAAACAUUACACUUUCAUCGUAAAAAUAAAAAAAUUUUUUUAUAAAUA
rnacentral:tRNA from 1 species